UCCCGGAGUCGUUCUAUACGC
rnacentral:miRNA from 1 species